rnacentral:rRNA from 1 species
CUAUGGGGGGCACCAGUGGGGAAUAUUGGGCAAUGGGCGCAAGCCUGACCCAGCAACGCCGCGUGAGGGAAGAAGGUUUUCGGAUUGUAAACCUCUGUCCUUGGGGACGAAGAAGUGACGGUACCCAAGGAGGAAGCUCCGGCUAACUACGUGCCUGCAGCCGCGGUAAUACGUAGGGAGCAAGCGUUGUCCGGAAUUACUGGGCGUAAAGGGUGCGUAGGCGGCAUAUUAAGUCAGGUGUGAAAUACUCGGGCUCAACCCGGGGGCUGCAUUUGAAACUGAUAUGCUUGAGUGUGAGAGAGGAAAGUGGAAUUCCUAGUGUAGCGGUGGAAUGCGUAGAUAUUAGGAGGAACACCAGUGGCGAAGGCGACUUUCUGGCUCAUAACUGACGCUGAGGCACGAAAGCGUGGGGAGCAAACAGGAUUAGAUACCCGCGUAGUC